rnacentral:lncRNA from 1 species
CGCCCGGGGCAGGGCGGCCCGUGCCGGGGGCGGGCGAGGCUGCCGAGAGCGCUCGGCCUCUGCGCCUCCGGGCCGCGCAGGAGCCAGGCAGAACUGAGAUGCUGAGUGAGACAGAGACAUCUUCGAAAGUGGAAUUUCAGAAGUCUGCUCUGCAGCCAGGAUGCUGACAAUGUUCAGAGUUGAUGCUGUGGAAGAUGAUCAAUGUAGACCGAACCCAGAGAGAUUCCACGCUCCACUCACUGCAAACGCCUCUCUGGAGCAGCUCGGAUGCACUGUGCUGCAAUAGGUAAGAGCAACAGCAUGCCACAUGAGCUUAACAUUAAUUUUGAUUCAUUUUGUAGGUCAAGCAUGAAAUACCUCUUGUAGU